rnacentral:misc_RNA from 1 species
CAAGUCCUGAGCAUCGUGUCCGCGCUCCCUGAAGUGCAGCGGCGGAGGAGCGGAGGCGGAACAGAAAGAAGAUAUAAAUACAAUGCUGAAGAAAUGAACUCCACCAAGUUAUAUGGUUAUGUCUUUGAUUAGUGAUACACGUGUUGAAUUAUAAACAGACUGAUUCAUUUAAUGGAACUAACGGGCUGUUCGAAAGUUAAAUUUUUUCACAAAGUUUUCUUGGAAUUUUUAGGAUGUUGUUGAGGCGCUUCUUUACCGUUUUAUGACAAAGGAAUAAAAACGUUAACGUAAUUUGUUACAUAAUUUUUUAUUUUAAGAAAAAAUAUGUACGUUAAAAUAUGAUUAAGAUUUAAAUGAG